AGAGGGAAUGGAGACUCAGUUGA
rnacentral:miRNA from 1 species